rnacentral:rRNA from 1 species
GACGUAGGGCGCGAGCGUUUGUCCGGAUUUAUUGGGCGUAAAGAGCUCGUAGGCGGUUUGUCGCGUCGGCCGUGAAAACUUGGGGCUUAACUCCAAGCUUGCGGUCGAUACGGGCAGACUUGAGUUCGGCAGGGGAGACUGGAAUUCCUGGUGUAGCGGUGAAAUGCGUAGAGAUCGGGAGGAACACCUGUGGCGAAGGCGGCCGACUGGGCCGACCCUGACGCUGAGGCGCGAAGGCGUGGGGAGCGAACGGG